rnacentral:rRNA from 1 species
AACGAACGCUGGCGGCAUGCCUAACACAUGCAAGUCGAACGAGACCUUCGGGUUUAGUGGCGCACGGGUGCGUAACGCGUUGGAAUCUGCCCUUGGGUUCGGCUGAACAGUUGGAAACGCCUGCUAAUACCGGAUGAUGUCGUAAGUCCAAAGGUUUAUCGCCCAGGGAUGAGCGGGCGUAGGAUUAGCUCGUUGUUGGGGUAAAGGCCUACCAAUGCGACGAUACUUAGCUGGUCAGAGAGGAUGAUCAGCCACACUGGGACUGAGACACGGCCCAGACUACUACGGGAGGCAGCAGUGGGGAAUAUUGGAAAAUGGGGGAAAGGAUGAUCGAGCAAUGCCGGGUGAGUGAUGAAGGUCUUAGGGAAGUAAAACUAUUUUAUCCGGGAUGAUAAUGACAGUACCGGGAGAAUAAGCCCCGGCUAACUCCGUG